AUUGAACGCUGGCGGCAGGCCUAACACAUGCAAGUCGAGCGGAUGACGGGAGCUUGCUCCUUGAUUCAGCGGCGGACGGGUGAGUAAUGCCUAGGAAUCUGCCUGGUAGUGGGGGACAACGUUCCGAAAGGGGCGCUAAUACCGCAUACGUCCUACGGGAGAAAGUGGGGGAUCUUCGGACCUCACGCUAUCAGAUGAGCCUAGGUCGGAUUAGCUAGUUGGUGAGGUAAAGGCUCACCAAGGCGACGAUCCGUAACUGGUCUGAGAGGAUGACCAGUCACACUGGAACUGAGACACGGUCCAGACUCCUACGGGAGGCAGCAGUGGGGAAUAUUGGACAAUGGGCGAAAGCCUGAUCCAGCCAUGCCGCGUGUGUGAAGAAGGUCUUCGGAUUGUAAAGCACUUUAAGUUGGGAGGAAGGGCAGUAAGUUAAUACCUUGCUGUUUUGACGUUACCGACAGAAUAAGCACCGGCUAACUCUGUGCCAGCCGCCGCCGUAAAAC
rnacentral:rRNA from 1 species